GUGAAUCAUCGAAUUUUUGAACGCAAAUUGCACUCUCUUCUGAGAGUAUGCCUGUUUGAGGGUCAGCCUAAAAAAAAUCGACAUAGUUGCUGUUACUCUGUAACAUUCGUCGGAAAUUGGGUCAUCUUAAACCUUUGGUUUUAAGCGGCUUAAAAUUUUCUUUACGAUUCAAAAAACGUUUCUAAGAUUUUAUUUUCUUAUACGUUUAAGGUAUCGAUCUUUAUUAGACGUGUCCUUUUAAUUGGAUCUUGUCCAUAAAUCUUUCUU
rnacentral:misc_RNA from 1 species